rnacentral:rRNA from 1 species
CUCCUACGGGAGGCAGCAGUGGGGAAUCUUGCGCAAUGGGCGGAAGCCUGACGCAGCGACGCCGCGUGGGGGAUGAAGGCCUUCGGGUUGUAAACCUCUUUCAGCAGGGACGAAGUUGAC